AGAGAGAAACUAAGAGAAGGACAAAAAGACAGGCGAGAGAAACAGACAAGAAAGGCACGGGGAGAAAGUGGCAACACAGACUCAGGCACCCGCAGGAGAAAAAGAGAGGUCAGGACACAUAAAAAGGAAGCCCCCCUCCCCGCACACACCCUCUAGUGGAUGCGAAGAAAGGGAAAAAAGGUGCGAAAUACAGGGAGAAGACAAGGAGAUUGAAGGAUGAAGGGACCAAGGCUCAGAGAGGUGACGUAACUUGCCCAAGGAGACCAACGGAGAACCUGCCACUUGUCUGCCUAGCUGCAAAGCCUUUGUCAUCAGUCUUCUUUCUAAGAGGCCCAAUAUGCCAGUGCUGGGAUUGCUCCCGUUAAUGAAACGUGGCAAGAGAGACACCGUGACUUCUGAGAUGUCGGAGCUGGCCAUGAUGUGUCUAUGUGCCGUGGCUCAUGGAACUCCUGCUGCAAAGUCUAGGGACCUGCAAGAGGCCACGUGCCAACGGAGAUGGUGGAAAGACAGACCUUCAGGGCUCAUCUGCAGUGACUUAGCCCCUCCCACAUAGCCCCACCUCCUUGUUCCAAUCACCUCCCAAUCUUGCAUUCAAAUGAGUCCUCCCUUGGAUUGACUUGUUGCUGAGGACUCAGCCCUUGUGACAAAACCCUUUCCUUAAAGCCUUUAACAGGAAUCCUCGGGAGACAUUUCAGAAGGAACUGGCAGUGGCCUGGGCCUAUGGACAAUGUCACCCUGCCUUUGUUCCCUGUCUUUUCUUCUAGGACAGAGGUGGGUCCUGCAGUCAAGCCCCAAGGAACUCUACCGUGGCAGAGAUGCCUGGCAAUUCUAACUUAGGCUGUGCCCUCAGAUAGCUAGAGCUGGGCAGUUAGGGCAAGGAGUCUUAAAACCAGUAUGAGUAGGAAGUGAAAACCCAGGGACACCCUCUGCUUGAGCAAACACCUCCACGUGGUUCACAGAGCUCCCAGGUUAUCUGAGCCAGUGCCUACAUUUAGCUCGGUGUUGGCUGGGAGGGGCAGAAGCCUGUGUGGGGAAGGGCUGAAUUUAGGAUAUGGGAGGAGCUGAGAAGGUUCAGGUAGCAGGAACAGGGUAGAAGGCAGCUCAGCGAACUAGACAGCAGAAGGGAGAGUCUGGAAUGCCCUGAAUAGAGGGAAGGGAUGGUGAGACCCCACUGGGCAUCCCUCGGAGGGGGGGCAGUCAGUUCUCCAUCUGGGGGUUUCCCAGACAGACUCCCAAAGGGUAGGGACAGAGCACCUGCUGGCCUGGCACUGCUUCCCCCUGCAGACAUAAAGCUCCCAUCCCCCUUCACUGAGACCCUCUUAGGGCACCUCCACCUGCACCCAAGCCUGGCCCUAGAGCUGGCUCUCGCAGGCACACCUGGCACUCUGGUGAGCCUGCUAGCAGCUCUGAUUUAAGACUCAGGCUGCUGCUCUCCAGGGCCUGCUCCUGAAUGCUACCAGCCAGGAUGUGGUGGUCUGAGGAGGACACAGGAAGUGAAAAAGACCCCCCUCCUCCAGUCUCUAGAGGCCUUUGGAACCCCAAAAAGUCCUUUCUCUAGCUAUUCUUGAGUGGGGGAUGUCAGUGACAGGGUGCUCACCGAUAACCUGACCCUCGGUCAGGAAGCAAGGAAGUUAAGGCUUCUUAACUGCUAGGCUUUGGAAUUCUAGAUAGAAAGAAGGACUGAGGGAUAUAGCUCAGUUAGUAGAGGCUCUGAAUUCAAUCCCUAGCACUUUAGACAUAGGACGUGGUGUUGCAUAGCUGUGAUCCCAGUGCAGAAGUUCAAGGCCAUCCUUGGCUACUUAGGGGAUUCUGGGCUAGCAUCGGCUAUAUGGCACCCUGUCUUUAAAAGAAGAGAGAGAGAAAUAUCCUCUCUCUAUUAUGGGAUACUUGCACACAAUGCAAAGGUGCAUUGCUGUGAUCAGUAUAAUAAAAAGCUGAACGGCCAAUAGCUAGGCAGGAGAGCUAGGUGGGGCUUUCUGACAGAGAGAGGAGGAUGCCAUUGAGAAUGAGUCAGACACACAGAAUGGGAGAGAGGUAAAAGCCACAUGGUGGAACAAACAUUAAUAUAUGUGGGUUAAUUUAAGCUAUUAGAGCUAGUUGAGACAAGUCUAAGCUAAAGAGGGAGAUUUCAUAAUUAAUAAGAAGUCUCUGGGUCAUUAUUUGGGAGCUGGUGGUUCAAAGGAAAACUUGCUACAUCUCUUCUUCUUGGCCCCUCUUUUCUCAUCUGUAUAAUGGGAGAACCAGCCUGGAUAAACUCAUGAUGAAGCCAGCCCACCUGGAUUUGACUCUCCAUUACUAGUAGCUGUUUCACCUACCUAAGUUACUUGGACUUUCAGGGUCUCAGUUCACCCAUCUAUAAAAUGAGGGAGCGUGCUGCAUGGUGGUUAGGACAAGGGCUGUGAGUGUGAACCCCAAGUGCUCCUGUUGAAGUCUAUGGAGAA